CAGAGUAGUAGUUCUAUUGAAGUACGUUUCCACAAAGACUUUGAUUUAAUCAACCACCCAAACAUUUUUCCACCUAUCUUAUCAACAACCGUUAACGCUCAACUUGGAUCCAAAGCAAGGAGUCUGUAUCCGUUUGUGCUUCCGCUCAGUCUCACCGUCGCUAUAAUUUCAAUGAUUCUGAUGCUGGGAGGGGCCAUUUGUUUCAUUCAACGUCGGACAAAGCGGCAUGGAAAGGAUCGUUGUUCAAGUCUGUGUGUUCUGUGUU